UCACUAGAGUCCAGGACGUCCUUUAAACUGGAAGAUGUCUAGAGUUCAGGAUGUAUAUUAAACUGUAAGCUCAAUAAAUAGUGAGUUCAGGACGUACGUUAAAUUGUGAGAAUCCUGACAUUAUCUCUUACAGUGUGAGACAUCCUAACAUCACCUCUUACAGUGUAAGACAUCCUGACAUCAUCUUAUACAGUGUGAGACAUCCUGACAUCAUCUCAUACAGUGUGAGAUAUCCUGAAACCAUUUACAGACGAUUUAUGCAUAAAAAAGCUACAGAGUUUUGACACAUGUUGAAACAAUUAGCCUACCCUUUUAUUUGUUGAUUAAAAAGUAAAAGUGUUUGCCACUAAUUCGUUUUUUGUUUGUACGAAUAUCAUUACUGUGAAUAGUAGCAUUCUUCGGACGUUUGUAAGCUGCAUCUUCUACAUUUUGCUGGCUAGUAUCCAAUUUCAUCAUUUCUAGGACGCGCUCUCCAUGCUGCCCUCUUACGGAACCAUCAUGCAUCCUUUCAUUCUUGAGAAGCUACCAUGAUGAUGAAGUUGUUCAUAUUCGCUCUCGUGGUCACGGGCCUUUGGUGGGUGAGAGUAACGAGUUCGGUGUGGUCACAGCUUGUUAAGCACAUAGGGUCUUGGGUAGUGACAGUGUUUCUAGCUUACCUACUAUCUGAUGGACUUUAUUCAGUCUGGCAGAAGUACAGAGGAAAAGUUUCUUCCAAACAAAAAGCUGUUUUGAUUUCAGCAUGCGACACUGCAUUUUG